CUUCAACAAUUUUGGGGGCUUCGUCCGGGAUUGGGUAAAGGAGAAGGAAUUCGAUCCGGUCCAGCUAACCUACACAGGAUUCACAGGUUCCAGCGCCGGCACAUCAAAAAGAAGAAGAAUCAGAAUUGGAGGAUUCGGAGGAAUCUGACUAGUCUGAGUCAGAUGAUGACUCUGACUCCUUGACGGUUGUGUGCCUUCAGCUUCCACAAUUCCACUUCAGCUUUUGAUUUAGCCAAUACUGCAUGGAAGGUGGGUGCUGCUGCAGCCUGUGUACCUGCAUAUAUAUUUUAUAUAGUCAAAUGUUGUGACCUCAACCAGGCUGUUUUUUAAACCAUUGAUGUUCCACUGAGAGGGUAAUCGUCAUGACAUUGCCACAAUCCAAAGUAAGAAGCUUAUACACAUAUACAGUAUCUCACAAAAGUGAG